CGCUUUUGCUUCGAGUCCCAAGCCUACUCAGCUUGUUUCAGGCACACGGCAAGUCCAUUUUUCAAUUUUGAAGAAUAGUAAUUACUAAUGCCACUCCACAAAAGAUCUAGGGCUAAUUAUUCUAUGGGUACAGCUUCUUCCCUAUCUAUCUUCACGGGGUUGAGUCUGAUCAAUUGCUAGAAAACUUUCAGGUGAUAUUCCGACCAGGUAAUAGUAAUUCAUAAUCAUAUUUUUAAAUCCUCUUUCAUCUUUUGUAAUUAUUAGUAUUUAUUUCAACUUUGUUCUUUAAUUUAGAUUUGUUUAGUUACAUGUCAUAUAUAUCUAUAAAUUGAUGCUGAAUUCCGUAUCGUAUAUUGAUGCUGCCACUACAUGCCAAGAAAUGAUCAAAAGAGCUGUAUUUGCUUCUCAAGAUAACUCAAGUCAAAUCAAUUGGAUAAUGCUAAUUGGAAUCCCUAUUGCUAAAAUUUGGUGCGGAAAAUUAAUAUGUGUUCAUGAGAUCGGAACUUGGGAAAAAACUGAGGAACCAUGGAAAUCACUUUCUUACUUGGUUUGUUUUAAAAUUAAUUUGCUGAGGUUAGAUUCUGUCUGUGCAAAAUUCGGGUUUUUAUGUGUUUUUUAUUGGUUAAAAUUAUUUUGGUAAUUUAGCCAGGGAGCUUUGCCUCAGAAGAAUAAAGUAAAACUCCUAGUCGGAUUUUUUGAAACUACAAGUUCAUUAUGGCUGCAUCCGAAGAGAAUAGUGCACUUUUUCCCAUCUUUAUCUUGACAUUAAUGGCGCUGCCUCUAGUGCCGUACAC
rnacentral:lncRNA from 1 species